GAUGAACGCUGGCGGCGUGCCUAAUACAUGCAAGUCGAACGAGGUGCUUUUUGUAGCAAUACGAGAAGUAUCCUAGUGGCGAACGGGUGAGUAACGCGUUGGUGACCUGCCCCAAAGUGUGGGAUAACAGUUCGAAAGGAUUGCUAAUACCGCAUGUGGUUAUCGGAUUUAGAAACUGAUAACUAAAGGAGUAAUCCGCUUUGGGAGGGACCUGCGUCCCAUCAGCUAGUUGGUGAGGUAACGGCUCACCAAGGCUACGACGGGUAGGGGACCUGAGAGGGUGGCCCCCCACAAUGGAACUGAAACACGGUCCAUACACCUACGGGUGGCUG
rnacentral:rRNA from 1 species